rnacentral:hammerhead_ribozyme from 1 species
AUCCAGUUGACGACUCCUAUAUAGGAUGAAACACUUGUCCUGGAU